AGUUACUGUGGUGGGGGAGGGUAGGUGCAGAAACACACCCUUUUACAGGGCAUGAGGAUUAUGCUGCUUGGUUACAUAAAAUGCAUGGUAGCUCCCACAUCAUUCCAAGAUAAACAUGGUGAAAUCAAGGCAGUUAGGUUACAUUACAACACUUCACUUACUAUGCUUAGCCCAAGGCUGGGUAGAGAACUGAACUUGAUGAAUCUAUCUACAAGUGAGCUACAAUUAAUUUUGCAUUUGCAGUAAUUCAAAGAGAGCACUUAUUUUUUUUUGACUUUCUCUUGUUUUAGUUGGUUUUAGAAUAGAGAAGAAUGCUGGCAGUAACAGCAAAUGAUCCUGGUACUUUCUUAAGGCACAUUACAGCAAGGGAGGGGAGAUGAGGCCAUCUGGAAAUUAUGUCCUUCUGCCAAAGUGAGUGCCUUCAACUGAGAACACUGGACAGUGGAUCCUGUCUGCAGCCUGCGCAGCGGUUUCUGAAAAUAGCCAGACAAGGCAAACAAGAAGAAAAAAACCCACAUCUUACAUUACUUGAAGUAAAAAUGGAGCAAAAGGGAAUGAAUAUGAAUCAAACAUUUUACUAUUUGGCUUUAGGAUUGUCAGUAGUAGAUGCUGUUGUCCUAGCUAACACAGCCACCUUCUUGGAGAGAGACAAUUAAGCUACACAUUUCAAA